UACGGGGGGGGCAAGCGUUGUUCGGAAUUACUGGGCGUAAAGGGCUCGUAGGUGGCCAACUAAGUCAGACGUGAAAUCCCUCGGCUUAACCGGGGAACUGCGUCUGAUACUGGAUGGCUUGAGUUUGGGAGAGGGAUGCGGAAUUCCAGGUGUAGCGGUGAAAUGCGUAGAUAUCAAGUGGAACACCAGUGGCGAAGGCGAGUCUCUGGACAUUUCCUGACACUGAGGAGCGAAAGUGUGGGGAGCGAACAGG
rnacentral:rRNA from 1 species